rnacentral:tRNA from 2 species
GGACGAAUAGCUCAGUGGUAGAGCGAAAGAUUGCAGAUCUUUAGGUCACGAGUUCGAACCUCGUUUCGUCCU